UACGUAGGGGGCAAGCGUUGUCCGGAAUCACUGGGCGUAAAGCGUGCGUAGGCGGUUGCGUGUGUCUGGGGUGAAAGUCCAGGGCUCAACCCUGGGAUUGCCUUUGAAACUGUUGGGCUUGAGUACGGGAGAGGUGAGUGGAAUUCCGAGUGUAGAGGUGAAAUUCGUAGAUAUUCGGAAGAACACCAGUGGCGAAGGCGGCUCACUGGACCGUAACUGACGCUCAUGCACGAUAGCGUGGGGAGCAAACAGG
rnacentral:rRNA from 1 species